GGGUGGUAAUGCCGGAUGCUCCAGUUGAUCGCAUGGUCUUCUGGGAAAGCCUUUGCGGCAUGGGAUGGGGUCGCGUCCUAUCAGCUUGAUGGCGGGGUAACGGCCCACCAUGGCUUCGACGGGUAGCCGGCCUGAGAGGGCGACCGGCCACAUUGGGACUGAGAUACGGCCCAGACUCCUACGGGAGGCAGCAGUGGGGAAUAUUGCACAAUGGGCGCAAGCCUGAUGCAGCGACGCCGCGUGAGGGAUGGAGGCCUUCGGGUUGUAAACCUCUUUUGUUAGGGAGCAAGGCAUUUUGUGUUGAGUGUACCUUUCGAAUAAGCACCGGCUAACUACGUGCCAGCAGCCGCGGUAAUACGUAGGGUGCAAGCGUUAUCCGGAAUUAUUGGGCGUAAAGGGCUCGUAGGCGGUUCGUCGCGUCCGGUGUGAAAGUCCAUCGCUUAACGGUGGAUCCGCGCCGGGUACGGGCGGGCUUGAGUGCGGUAGGGGAGACUGGAAUUCCCGGUGUAACGGUGGAAUGUGUAGAUAUCGG
rnacentral:rRNA from 1 species